AUUGAACGCUGGCGGCAUGCCUUACACAUGCAAGUCGAACGGUAACGGGCCUUCGGGUGCCGACGAGUGGCGAACGGGUGAGUAAUGUAUCGGAACGUACCUUUCAGUGGGGGAUAACGUAGCGAAAGUUACGCUAAUACCGCAUAUUCUGUGCGCAGGAAAGCAGGGGAUCGCAAGACCUUGCGCUGAUUGAGCGGGCGGUAUCAGAUUAGCUAGUUGGUGAGGUAAAGGCUCACCAAGGCGACGAUCUGUAGCGGGUCUGAGAGGAUGAUCCGCCACACUGGAACUGAGACACGGUCCAGACUCCUACGGGAGGCAGCAGUGGGGAAUUUUGGACAAUGGGGGCAACCCUGAUCCAGCCAUGCCGCGUGAGUGAAGAAGGCCUUCGGGUUGUAAAGCUCUUUCGGCCGGGAAGAAAUCGUAUCAGCUAAUACCUGGUGCGGAUGACGGUACCGGCAUAAGAAGCACCGGCUAACUACGUGUCAGCCGCCGCCGUAACAC
rnacentral:rRNA from 1 species